rnacentral:rRNA from 1 species
UCCAGACUCCUACGGGAGGCAGCAGUGGGGGAUAUUGCACAAUGGGGGGAACCCUGAUGCAGCGACGCCGCGUGGGUGAAGGAGCGUUUCGGCGCGUAAAGCCCUAUCGGCAGGGAAGAAGGAGGACGGUACCUGACUAAGAAGCCCCGGCUAACUACGUGCCAGCAGCCGCGGUAAUACGUAGGGGGCAAGCGUUAUCCGGAUUUACUGGGUGUAAAGGGGGCGCAGACGGCAGCGCAAGCCAGGAGUGAAAGCCCGGGGCCCAGCCCCGGGACUGCUCUUGGAACUGCGCGGCUGGAGUGCAGGAGGGGCAGGCGGAAUUCCUGGUGUAGCGGUGAAAUGCGUAGAUAUCAGGAGGAACACCGGUGGCGAAGGCGGCCUGCUGGACUGCGACUGACGUUGAGGCCCGAAAGCGUGGGGAGCAAACAGGAUUAGAUACCCUUGUA